rnacentral:rRNA from 1 species
UACAGAGGAGCCAAGCGUUGUCCGGAUUGACUGGGCGUAAAGCGCACGCAGGCGGCCGCGCGCGUUGGGUGUGAAAUCUGGCCGCUUAACGGCCAGGCGCCAUCCCAUACGGCGCGCCUGGAGGGCUGCAGAGGUCGAUGGAAUUGCCGGUGUAGUGGUGAAAUGCGUAGAGAUCGGCAGGAACACCCAGGGGGAAACCAGUCGACUGGGCAGCACCUGACGCUGAGGUGCGAGAGCGUGGGGAGCGAACCGG